rnacentral:lncRNA from 1 species
CGAUAAAAUAAUAUAAGAUAAAAUCUAAAUACAAAAUGGUGGCUGCUGAAUAUAAAAAAAGUUCACACAAAUUCACAUUUCUGAUAAUAAUUCGAAAAUCAACGAACAAACAACUGAUCUGGGGAUUAUUCUGACACAAAAACUUGCAGAAUUACAUAGAGAAACUAGUACAGCUAAUCAUUCUUCACCAUAAUAUCCAAAUACAACAUAAUAUUCAUAGAUCAUCGACCAUUGUUGCCACCGUGAGGUCCAGCAUCUACACCACCACCAGCGGCGUUGUUGUUGUUGUUGUUGUUGCUGCUGCUUGCGUUGUUCCUGACGCGACCAAAUGUUAAAAACAAUGGUUUCGGCUGCUAUGUUAACCGCAGAACCGAUAGCACAGGAAACAUCUCCGAACACUUGAGCUUUGAUCUUUCCUCUUUUGAUUGGUGGAGACAUGGCAUUGAGAAUCGGAAUCAGAGCUCGAUUGUGAUAUUGAUUGUGAACUGUGUAGUGAGGUUGUGGUUUAUAGCUUUAAAUAAAUAGGGCCAAGUGGCCGACAUACGUU